CCAUAUGUUCUUCUUUACACACAUCUACUUCCUCCUCCAUCUCUUUUUCUUAUACACAUAAAUAUACUCCAUUAUUAUUCAUUUUCACCUUCCAAAUUACCUUCUUUCAUUAUUAUUUAUUCCCAUCACUUCAAGAUUCAGCAAUUCCUCAUUUUUUUCAGUCUCAUUCAAACCCCAUCUGUUUUUUUGAGGUGUUUUUGGGGUUCAAUUUUGUGUGUUAAUGCAUAUAUCAGGUUUUUUUUGAAGAUGGGUCUUGAGUUUCUUGGGUUUUCUUGGGUCCAAUUUUGUGUGUUAAUGCAUAUAUCAGUUUUUUUUUUAUUUUUGAAGAUGGGUCUUGAGCAUAGACAUAAAUGAGUGGUAAAGAUUAGAUCUUUUAGGUGUUUGGUGAUUAAAGUUUUGUUCUUUUUGGUUUUUGGUGGAUCUUGGGUUUCAGAUCUAGAUUUAAGUGACAUUCUGAAUUGUUGAUUUUGCAUUUUUAGUCUUAAAUUUUGUGAGAGGGGUCUGUUUUUGUUGAUCUUGUAAGGCUUGUUUGAGAAUUAUUUGUUUUGGGGUUGGGAUGAAGUGGGGUUAUGGGUCAAAAUCAAGAUGUCGCCACAGCUCAGUGGUAGCUGUGGCAGAGGAAACAGAAGGGAUUGAGAUUGAUGAAGAGUUUAUAGAAAGCUAUUGGGCUAAUUUGCCUUCAGAGUUAUUAAGAGAAGUUCUUAAAAGGAUUGAGGAUACAGAAUCCAAAUGGCCUUUGAGAAAAAAUGUUGUGGCUUGUGCUGGAGUUUGUAGGAGGGAAUCUAAAUGGCCUUUGAGAAAAAUUGUUGUGGCUUGUGCUGGAGUUUGUAGGAGCUGGAGAGAGAUAAUGAAGGAAUUGGUAAAGACCCCUGAAGUUUCUGGCAAAUUAACUUUCCCAAUUUCAGUUAAGCAGGUAAAAGAAAAAAAAUUCCCACUUCAAUUAACAAAUGAUGUGUUUAUUUUCUUUGUGAUUUGCAUUAGGAUUUGAGGUAGUUAUAUUUGUUAGUAAUUUGUUGAUUUGAUUUGGAGUUCUCUUGUUUCUUUAAGUGGUAAUACAACUUCAUUUCUUCAAGGCUUAAUCUGAAGGCAUAUAUUGAAAUUCAAGAUUAGCUUGGCUUAUUAGGAAGCUUGUGAAAUGCUAUAUGUUAGGCGCUAGCCAACUAUUUGGUUCAUCUUCCAUGUUUUUGGUUGUAUCUUCUCGCUUCUCGAC
rnacentral:lncRNA from 1 species